GUCAUCAUUCAUCAAUCAAAUAAGUAAUUAAACAACCAGAUGCUAAUUUUACUUUUAGUUGUUUUUUUUUUAUGUGUACGUAAUUUCACGCACAUUCACGUGUUUAAACCUCACUAUUCCGAUGUGAAAAAGAAAUAAAUGAAACUGGUACAAAUAUGUGUUUGAUGCUCAUUCGAGAAGAUAAUUCAAUGCAAUUCAAACUCUUUAAAUCUGACAUUUACAAUAAAUAUCUGUGUACGACACGAGGCAGGUUGUUCUUUUGUGCUUUUUGUGCAAUAUUUCCCGCUUUUCUGCGCUGUAUACAGUAUAAACGUAUAUAACAUGUAUUUAUAGUAUUACAUUCUCAAAAACAAAACUUUGUGGAUAACACAGUACGAGUACCGGUGUACGGAUAUUUCUACAAUUUCAGGACUUUACAGCAGAUAUGUCGGCGUGUGUCCCACAUCCUCGUCCAGUGUAAAGGUGUCGUUUGGUUAUUAGAGCUUGUGCUCCAGCAUGAAGCUGAAAAUGUCAAUAUGAAAAGUGUUUUGUUUUCACGUGGACACAGACAUGAGGAUUUCACAAACACGGCUGAGUUCAUGACUUACAUGAAUCAACACAAAUGUAUAAUCACUGGGUUAGGGUUAGUGUUAGGGUUUAGGGGUUAGGGUUGGGGUUAGUUUUAGGGUUAGGGGUUAGGGUUAGGGUUAGGGGUUAGUGUUAGGGGUUAGUGUUAGGGUUAGGAUUAGGGGUUAGUAUUAGGGUUAGUGUUAGGGUUAGGGGUUAGUGUUAGGGUUAGAGGUUAGGGUUAGGGGUUAGUGUUAAGUUUAG
ensembl:lncRNA